rnacentral:rRNA from 1 species
GACGAACGCUGGCGGCGCGCCUAACACAUGCAAGUCGAACGGAGCGCAGAGGAAGAUUUCCUUCGGGGAUGAUUCUUUUGUUGCUUAGUGGCGAACGGGUGAGUAACACGUGAGCAACCUACCUUCCAGUGGGGGACAACAUUUGGAAACAGAUGCUAAUACCGCAUAAGACCACAGCCGGACAUCCGGCAGCGGCCAAAGGAGCAAUUCGCUGGAAGAUGGGCUCGCGCCUGAUUAGAUAGUUGGUGGGGUAACGGCUCACCAAGUCUGCGAUCAGUAGCCGGACUGAGAGGUCGAACGGCCACAUUGGGACUGAGACACGGCCCAGACUCCUACGGGAGGCAGCAGUGGGGAAUAUUGCACAAUGGGCGAAAGCCUGAUGCAGCGACGCCGCGUGAGGGAAGAAGGUUUUCGGAUUGUAAACCUCUGUCUUUGGGGACGAAGAAGUGACGGUACCCAAGGAGGAAGCCACGGCUAACUACGUGCCAGCAGCCGCCGUAAAA